UUUAGAGUCUAAGUCUUUAGGUACUUCUAUCCUUACAACUCCUUUAUUUACUUAGUUAAUAAUGCUCAAAAUUGUUUUUAAGAAAAUAAGGAAAAACUAAGUGUGAAUAAAAGUAAUUUUCAAAAACAACAUGUAACGGUUUACCAUACUUGAGUAACAAGUUACAUGAGUGAGAAAAGACUGUUGCAUCAGUCUUUCAGAUUUUAAGUGAAGAGGUUUCACUCCAAACUGAUUGCUUUUCAUUCCAAACGUAACCUACUAAUGCCUAAGGGUAUUGUGGUUGAUUGAAAGCCUAUAUAAAGGCAUUGAA